AUAGGGGUGCACAUAAGUGACUGAGUGACUGUGUUGUUAAGAGACUAAGUGUGCUGAGAAAAUACCCUUCAAACUUGAUCCGGAUAAUGCCGGCGUAAGGAAUUGAAUUAU
rnacentral:ncRNA from 1 species